rnacentral:misc_RNA from 1 species
UGCUUUUGUAUCGUUCUUGAUUUGAGAAUGGAGUGAUAAAUGAAAAUGAGCUGGUGUGGGAGAAUCUGUUUCCCUUUUCUCAAGGGAAUUGAAAGUCGUCUUCUUGAUCAUUCUUAAGGGUUCCCUCUUGAUCAUUCAUGGGUUCAUCUUUGGUUCAUGUACCGCGGACAUGCAGUGGAAGCCCUGAAAAAGGUAGCCGAAGAGUUGGGCAAACAAGACUGGAACUUCAGUGUAGACCCUUGCAGUAAUGACCCAAGCUGGAACACAUCAGUGCCAGAGGAAUCAUUAUACAACAAUACUCUCGUUUGCAAUUGCUUUGAUGGCAGUCUAUGCCAUGUUAUUAGCAUGUAACUUGCCCUCUUUGCUUAUCAACAACAUUUGGAGCUCAAAUUCCUGUUUCAUCAUUUGCGAGAAAGCUUAGCACAAGUUAAUUUGGAAUUUAAAGGUCCUGGAUUUCUUGUGUGUCAGAUUUCUCAAAGGGCAAGAUCUUGCUGGAGUGCUGCCUGGGCUAUUGUGAAACUACCUUACCUCCAGAAUCUGCAAUGAGUGCUUCCAAUUACUUUUUUCUUUUGCUAUUCAAUUUAGGUAAAAAAUAUUUCAUGUGCUUUGCAGUGUUCUGACUCGUAAUUACCUUGCUGGAAGUAUACCACCAGAAUGGGCGUCUACAAAGUUGAAAUAUCUGUCCGUCUCUGUGAACCGCUUGGCAGGAGAAAUUCCAAGUUACUUGGGAAAUAUCACUACGCUUGUAUUCUUGUAACCAUGUUCUUCUGUCUGCCUAUCUUUUCUUAUACUUUUUAUAAGAAAAUAAAAUUGCUUGAAUUUUUUUGGAUUAGUGAUAACCCUGGGAGAGAUUUUAUAUUCAGGAGCAUUGAAAACAAUAUGUUUUAUGGAACAGUUCCUUCUGAGCUUGGAAAAUUAGUUAAUUUGAUGAAUCUGUUAGCCCCUUAAACCUUCUCUUAUAGAAAUCAUUCAAUUAUUGGAACAAUAAAGUAUGUGGCAUUAAUUUGUUCCUCUUCUUUUUGUGUCUGUGCUCUUGCUGAUUACAGCAAUCUUAAUGCCAACAAUCUCACCGGAGAGUUACCUUUGAAUCUUACUGCUAUGACCAAAUUACAGUAACUGUAAGUCUUUGUAACAUUCUGUUGUGCUGAUAGUAAUUCCUUUACCAAAUUAAUCCUUUUCAGGCUUUGUGAAUUUUGAUCUUCUUUCUGUAUUGGGUCAUAUGCAGUAGGAUUAGCAGUAACAACUUCGCUGGAAAGAUGCCCAGUUUUAUUCAGAGCUGGAAAUACCUUAAGAGAUUUUAUACGCCUUUCCCUAUCACAAUUUUAAUUUUUAAAUCUACAGUACAUUGAAUUUCAGGAGGAACCUAAAUCCAUUUUCAAUGAUGUUGUUAACAGAGAUAUCCAAGGAAGUGGUCUUGAAGGGCCUAUUCCUUCUAACAUUUCCAGCUUGAAUCACUUAGUUGAACUGCAAGUGCUAUUUUAAGUCUUUAGUUCUUCCUUGCCAAGUAUAUUUAUGUGCUUUUUUAGUUAAUAAUUGCAUAUCUGAUAAUUAUAUGUCUAUGAUUAUGUAUUGUGUAGACUUAUUAGUGACUUGUACGGAGAGGAUUCAGAGUUUCCACAGUUAGCAAGCAUGACAACCAUUAUGUAUUUGAUGUUGAGGAACUGCAAUAUAUCUGGAACUCUCCCAGGCUAUGUAACACAAAUGUCAAAACUUAAAGUUUUGUAAUCUGUUGUUCCCUUAUCUCUCAUUUCUUAAAUUCCUCUGCUUCUACAUGAAUAUAUUAAUUCCUGCGAUAUAUGGUUGACCCACCCUCUGGUUGUAUUAUUAUUAGCAAUCUAUAUUCCUCCGAGACAACUUUUUGUCAAUGAUGACUUCUAUGUUGUCUUUCUUAACCAAUGAUGAUGCAGAGGUGUUCUUGCAGAGAUCUCAGUUUCAAUAGGUUGGGUGGAAAUCUUCCAAAAAUUAAUAUUAAAGUUCUACCAAAGUUGGAGAACAUGUAUCUGACAAGCAACUGGCUAUCUGGACCCAUCCCAUACUGGAUAAAAAGCAGAAAUACUCGCAUUCCGAACUUCGGUGUUUAUAAAUUGUGGUGGAGAAGCAACUUCCAUUGGAAGCAUCACCUAUGAAGAAGAUGACAUGAUCGGAGGUGCAGCAAAAUAUUUCCCUGAGAGAGACAGCUGGCACGUUAGUACCAUCAGACAUUUUUGGGAUGUUGACCAUGAAGUACUGUCCUCAAAUGACUACAUAGCACAAAAUGUAUUGAGUCUCACAAGUAAAAAACUCCAAAUUGUACAUGAAAGCAUGCCUCUCUCCUCUCUCACUCACAUAUCGUGUGCAUUGUCUAGUUAAUGGGAAUUACAAUGUGAGGCUUCACUUUGCAGAGAUAGUUAUCAGGGACAACAGUUCCUUCCACAGUCUAGGCAGACAGAUAUUUGAUGUUUAUAUUCAGGAUUUUGAAAUAAAAAAGGAAGCACAAGGGUUGAACAAGGCGUUCAUUCGGGAAUUUAAAGCAUUUGUUAAGGAUGGAACUUUAGAGAUCCACUUUCGUUGGGCUGGGAAGGGGACGACUGCUGCCCCAAAGAAAGGAACAUAUGGUACUCUCAUAUCUGCCAUUGAUGUGGAAUCUGAAUUCAAGAUCAUAAGGAAAAAAUUUGUUUUGCCUGGAGUUUUUCUAUUGUUCUUCCUUUUCUGUUUUGCAGGAACCAUUUGGUGGAAAGGUUAUACAUGCGGAAAGAUGUUAAAGGACCAAGGUACUCUAUAUUUUCCAAAAAUGUCUGUAAUUGAUGACUAUAUUAUAGCAUGAGGUAGCAGCAUCUUAUUUUCAUAUGCCUAGAAUGAAUGAAACAUAAAUUUUUUCCUUGCUGUCUUGCAAUUCUAUGUUUUACAUUGUCAUGUGUUCCGAAAUGGCUGCCACAUUAGCAACUGUAGGAAUGUAAAAAAUGGGUUCCCAUUUUUCCAAUAUAUUUUUGGCCACUUCUAAAUUACAAUGGUGGCUCAAAUGGCCAUAAUGCAAUUGAGUUCAUUGCCGGUAUUGCUGUCAUUGUUGGAAACAUUUUUUUAUUACUAAAGAAUAAAUUUUAUUAAGGGAAGGAAGGAGAUUAUAAAAUGUAAGAAGUUAUCCUUGUAAGCUAAAUGAUGCACCAGAACAAAAAACAAAAUCAAAUAACAAUUCCUUCUAGUCAUGCUGAACAAUACUUGAAGUCACCCAUCCAUAAGCCCCCAAAACUGCACUGUAAAUUUUUAAAUGGCUGAACCAAAGAUUGCAGAUAUUUAACAAAUGUCUAAAACCAAUCCUCUAAGUCAUCAGGAAGAAUUAGACAUAUUUCAUUUGUGAAUUCUAUGUAAUGUUUUGUUUAUUACUAUUGCAUGUGAUGACGCUACCCAUAAGUCAUAUGAGAAGAGAUGGGCUUCAAAAUCUUCAACCAAGAUUAGGGUUCUUAAAGCUAUUCAAGAUUACAAGCUGUUUUUCUUUCUUCCUUUUCUCUUUUUCUAUUACAAAUCUUUGUUCCUUGUACAGAAGCAGAAGAGUUAGAUCUGCAAACAGGUAUUUUCUCCUUCAGACAAAUUGAAACUGCCACUAACAACUUCAACAGCAAACAAGAUUGGGGAAGGCAGUUUUGGAUUUGUAUGCAAAGUACAGUACAAUUUUUUUUUUUCCAUUUAUUUAAAAUUCUUUUUAGACUUGUGAAAGAUUGGCGAAGGCGGUUUUGGAUUUGUAUCUUCUUUUCUAUUCUUUCCUCACAUGUCCUGACCUAAGCAAGAUUGAAUUCGUUUGCGAUUAUGAUUUGGUUGAGUUGAGUUCUGUUGCAUUGUCCUAAAUAUUGAAAUAUUGAAUUAACACUAAGAUUUACUUUAUAUUCUUAUUGUAGGGAAUAUUAUCAGAUGGAACUAUAGUUGCAGUUAAGCAGCGUUCUUCUGAAUCAAAUCAGGGAAAUUGAGAAUUUUUUAAUGAAGUAGGCAUGAUUUCUGCUUUACAGCACCCAAAUCUUGUUAGAUUGUAUGGUUGCUGUGUUGAAGGGAGUCCAUUAUUGUUGGUAUAUGAGUAAAUGGAAAACAAUAGCCUUGCGCAUGCCUUGUUUAGUAAGUCUCCAGUUAAGUCCUUCAAAUACAUCAAGAAGCCUAAGAAACAUUAUAAAUGACAUAUGGUAAGAACUAGGGUGUUGAUUGGGUUAUUUGUAUUUGUUAUGGAAAGUCAAUCACCAUGUUAUGGAAAGUCAAUCACUAU